AACGAACGCUGGCGGCAUGCCUAACACAUGCAAGUCGAACGAAGCCUUCGGGCUUAGUGGCGCACGGGUGCGUAACGCGUGGGAAUCUGCCCUUUGGUUCGGAAUAACAGGUGGAAACGACUGCUAAUACCGGAUGAUGACGAAAGUCAAAAGAUUUAUCGCCAGAGGAUGAGCCCGCGUAGGAUAGCUAGUUGGUGUGGUAAAGGCGCACCAAGGCGACGAUCCUUAGCUGGUCUGAGAGGAUGAUCAGCCACACUGGGACUGAGACACGGCCCAGACUCCUACGGGAGGCAGCAGUGGGGAAUAUUGGACAAUGGGCGAAAGCCUGAUCCAGCAAUGCCGCGUGAGUGAUGAAGGCCCUAGGGUUGUAAAGCUCUUUUACCCGGGAUGAUAAUGACAGUACCGGGAGAAUAAGCCCCGGCUAACUCCGUGCCAGCAGCCGCCGUAA
rnacentral:rRNA from 1 species